GUCCACGUCGGAUCGCAGGGCGUCCGUCACUGCACAGGAGACGCAUCCGCGACGUCCCUGUUAUAGAGCAGCCCGCUGACCUCGCUCCCUUGCAUUGCCAGACGGUGAUACAGGACCACAGAUUGUCGUCUCAUCUGAGACGACGCUUCCUUGCAAGUCAAUCCACUGCUGGAUGAGGACUACCCCCACCAACACCGAACGAGUCGUGGGGGUUGUUUAAUCACAAUUCACGACACCGAUCAAUGCAGGUUGGUGAAGGUCAGUAGCAUAGACGUGGAAGCAUAGUGCAGUACAACAAUGGAUUUUUCUGCACCGCCUUCUGGUGAAGGGUGUUGCUCGGGUACUUGCCUGCGUUUCCUGGCACACUGAGAAGCACCCCCAGGGAGAUGAAUAUCGGGUAGGUGACCACCACUCCAAAGUUAACCAGAACGUUGAACACUGAAAAUCAAACAAAACACCAUCACAACGUUUUUGGAGCAAAGUCAAGUGAGCAAUAAACACAUUUUAAAAUAUCAA